UUUGCGCAAGCGCAGAGUUCUCCCAGAAGCCUAUUCCGUCAUGUCUACUAAGGGCAGAAAACACGCCCCGUUUUUAGACUGCUGCGGCCGACUACCAGUAGCAGUUUAUUCGUCACUUUCUCGUUCUUCUCCUCCGUCGUAGCUGCUUUGCGGGCGCGCGCCUGGUUGGAGGAGAGGGGCCUAGUGGUUACGACUGCCUUCCCCUGGUCCUGGGCUCCUCCACUUCUGUACAGGCGUCGCAGGCCGGACGAGGAGGGCUGGGCUCGCUGCGGUGGGAGCGGGAUCCGACCCAUCUCAGAGUGGGGACCCGGAGAAAGGCAAGGCUAGUCGGCUGGGACCCUUCUGCAGACCCCUCCGGUGCGCAUCCCAGGCACUUGCGUCUGCAGACCUGGCUCCCAGGAGCUAUGGGCAGGAGGCCCUCUUCAUUGGCCACCUAAGGCUGAAAGGAAGCAGAUGGCGAACACGGUUUCCAGGGCCCAGCGCGACUCUCGUUGGCACUCACGGUGGUGCCCAGUCCACAGCGCCAAGGCGCCAGAGGAAGGCUCCGCCUCGCGUAUCGGAAGUGACAUUCUGCGUGGACCUGGAGCUCAGCCUUCUAGGGGUUCCAGCGGGAGCCGCCCUUCCAUCCAGGCUCACGGUCUGAGGGAGUGCUAUAGCACACUUCCAGCCCGCACGCACGGUCCUGACAGAGAUUAAGACAAAAGAGGACAUAACAAGGCAGAUCAGAUCAGAACAAUGCAAGUAACACAGCAUUUUACAACAAGAAAACUCAAAAUUAACAGUAAGUACCAUAAUGUCUCCUUCUUUGAAAUAGCUGAGCAAGAGAUUUAUUUUCACAGGUCUAGAGUUGGGCCUGGGUAGCACAUACUCAUAAUUCCAGUAGUUUGGGAGGCUGAGGCAAGAGGGUUACCAUAAAUUCAACACCAGCAAGGACUACAUACUGAGUUCAAGACCAGUCUGCACUACACAGUGAAGCCCUGUCUCAAAACACCAAAAUAAAUAAAUAAAAUGAUAAGUUCAAGUCCAGCCUGGGCAAGUGAACACUUAGUGAGACCCUGUCUCAAAAUAAAGUUGUAUGUGUGAGGGGACAAGGUAUUUGUCAUACUGUGUGCCAGAAUCAUUGCCUCUCUGAUCUCUGGUAGCUCCAGGUUUUCUUCAGAAUGUGGGUGUGUCUCUCCAGGCUGGCCUCCAAAUUCACAUGUCCUCCUCUUUGUAUCAGAAUUCUCAGUCUCCAUCUCAUAAGGACACUUGUUGAAGCCAGUCAUGGUGAUACAUGCCUAUAACCUCAGCACUUGGGAGGCUGAGGCAGGAGGGUCACUGAAGCCGGCCUCAACUACAUAGCAAGUUCAAAUUCAGCUUGAACUACAAAGCAAGGUCCCCCAAAAAAAGAUCUCAAAAAAAAAGUUGUUUUUGGAUUUAGGAUUCACUUGGAUUAUUCAGGAUGAUCUAUUGUCAAGAUACCUACAUCUGCAAAGAACCUUUGCCAAAUUACAUAUAUUCCAGAUUGUGUUUUUCUUUCUCUCUCUCUCUCCCUCCCUCCCCUCUCUCUUUUUCCUUCUCUUUUUGAGACAGGGUCUUGCUAUAUAUCUGACGCUGGCUUCAAACUUGUGAUCCUCUUGCCUUAGCCUCCCAAAUGUUGGGAUUACAGGCCACCUAUCCAUGGACUGUAUGGGAAUCAGUGACUGUCUUUGUGGUUAGAAGUCUUCUCCACUCCAGGGUGUUGUCAGGCUUGGAGUCCUGGAGGCUCUGGAGAUUGUGCUGGGCAUUGGCCCAGGGCCCUGUUCUUUCCUUGACGUGCAGACUGGGCAUGAGAACAGCAGCUCCAUCCAGCAUUAUGGCCUGGUGUGUGGCUGGAGCUAGAACUUGGCUGCAACAGGACAGAAGCCUGAGCUGCAGGUCGGCUCUUGAUGGAGAGCCUGGAGCCGUUGUGGAGCUCCAGAUUCCCUCACACCACCAGCCCAGUGGUGUCUUUGUUCCUGUGAGCUUUCUGAAAGCUCUGCAGUUGACCUUCUACAGGGUUUUCCUUGGAAGCAAAGUGAGGACUGGAGACCUCAGUGCCCAGAGAGAGGCCUCCAGCCCCAGCUCACUCGUGCCUGUGAUGUGGAACCUGACCUGACCAUUGCAGCUUGCUCCUGAAGGCAACAUGGAAAACAUCAGCACCUUCACUGAACCUCACUCUGUGAAGUAGGGCAUGGUGAUACAUGUGUAACCCUCAUGAUUCCAGAGGCAAGGGGGCAGGAGCAUCAUAAAUUUAAGCCCAGCCUGGGCAAUUUAGGGAGACCCAACUCAAAAUAUAAAAUAAAGGGCUUGUAUGUUGCUCAGUGCA